GCGCCCGUAGCUCAGUUUGUAGAGCGGUGGAACGGUGAUCCACAGUCCCAGGAUCAAGUCCCGUCGUCGGUCGCU